rnacentral:rRNA from 1 species
UACGAAGGGGGCUAGCGUUGCUCGGAAUCACUGGGCGUAAAGGGUGCGUAGGCGGGUCUUUAAGUCAGGGGUGAAAUCCUGGAGCUCAACUCCAGAACUGCCUUUGAUACUGAGGAUCUUGAGUUCGGGAGAGGUGAGUGGAACUGCGAGUGUAGAGGUGAAAUUCGUAGAUAUUCGGAAGAACACCAGUGGCGAAGGCGGCUCACUGGCCCGUUACCGACGCUCAGGCGCGACAGCGUGGGGAGCAAACAGG